UGGGGAAUUGUUCGCAAUGGGCGCAAGCCUGACGACGCAACGCCGCGUGGAGGAUGAAGGUCUUCGGAUCGUAAACUCCUGUCGAACGGGACGAACACCUUUCGGGAUAACACCCUGAGAGGCUGACGGUACCGUGAGAAGAAGCCCCGGCUAACUUCGUGCCAGCAGCCGCGGUAAUACGAAGGGGGCUAGCGUUGUUCGGAAUUACUGGGCGUAAAGGGCGCGCAGGCGGUCUUCCAAGUCGGAUGUGAAAGCCCCGGGCUCAACCUGGGAACUGCAUUCGAGACUGGGGGACUUGAGUUCGGGAGAGGAGAGCGGAAUUCCCAGUGUAGAGGUGAAAUUCGUAGAUAUUGGGAAGAACACCGGUGGCGAAGGCGGCUCUCUGGACCGAUACUGACGCUGAGGCGCGAAAGCGUGGGGAGCAAA
rnacentral:rRNA from 1 species